rnacentral:rRNA from 1 species
GACGAACGCUGGCGGCGUGCUUAACACAUGCAAGUCGAACGGAAAGGCCCUGCUUGCAGGGUACUCGAGUGGCGAACGGGUGAGUAACACGUGGGUGAUCUGCCCUGCACUUCGGGAUAAGCCUGGGAAACUGGGUCUAAUACCGGAUAGGAGCCAUUUUUAGUGUGAUGGUUGGAAAGUUUUUUCGGUGUAGGAUGAGCUCGCGGCCUAUCCGCUUGUUGGUGGGGUAAUGGCCUACCAAGGCGGCGACGGGUAGCCGGCCUGAGAGGGUGGACGGCCACAGUGAGACUGGGACACGGACCAGACCCCGACGGGUGGGAGAGGCGGGGAAGAUUGAUCUAGGGGCGUGAGCCAGAUGCAGGUACGGCGCGGGGGGGUGGGCGGUCAUGGGGUUGGAAUUGUAAUUCGCUAGGGACCAAGAUUUUUGUGACGGUACCUAGAGAAGAAGCACCGGCUAACUACGUG